UGGAAGGUGUUUCUACUUGAUACCGCGGUAUUUCUGGAGCUAAUACAUGCGUAAAGACCCACUUCUUUAAGGACGGGUUGUUCUUAUAAAAAACUAAACCGCUUCGCCUUGCCUCGUAAUAAGGUGAUUGAUGGUAAUCCAACGAAUCGCGAUGUUCCGCUCCAAUGAUUGCCCCAAGAAGUUGACCUUUCAGCUUUGAAGCGUAGGGUAUUGGCCCCCCGUGACUUUGAACUGGAAAAGAAAAAUAGGGGUUGAUUCCGGAAAAGGGGCCCCUCAUCCAAGGACGGCAUCUAGGGAAGGCAUUACGCAUCCUGUUACACCGUCCUACUGACGGUAAAGAACUAAACAAGGAACCUAUAUGAGGGUUCCACCGAAGGCCAACAAUUUGAAUGACUUCCAUUUAACACCUUCCCCGACGAUUGUAGUAAAGGUCUGGUUGGU
rnacentral:rRNA from 1 species